UAACGGCGAGUGAAGCGGUAAAAGCUCAAAUUUGAAAUCUGGUACUUUCAGUGCCCGAGUUGUAAUUUGUAGAAUUUGUCUUUGAUUAGGUCCUUGUCUAUGUUCCUUGGAACAGGACGUCAUAGAGGGUGAGAAUCCCGUUUGGCGAGGAUACCUUUUCUCUGUAAGACUUUUUCGAAGAGUCGAGUUGUUUGGGAAUGCAGCUCAAAGUGGGUGGUAAAUUCCAUCUAAAGCUAAAUAUUGGCGAGAGACCGAUAGCGAACAAGUACAGUGAUGGAAAGAUGAAAAGAACUUUGAAAAGAGAGUGAAAAAGUACGUGAAAUUGUUGAAAGGGAAGGGCAUUUGAUCAGACAUGGUGUUUUUUGCAUGCACUCGCCUCUCGUGGGCUUGGGCCUCUCAAAAAUUUCACUGGGCCAACAUCAAUUCUGGCAGCAGGAUAAAUCAUUAAGAAUGUAGCUACUUCGGUAGUGUUAUAGCUUUUUGGAAUACUGUUAGCCGGGAUUGAGGACUGCGCUUCGGCAAGGAUGUUGGCAUAAUGGUUAAAUGCCGCCCGUCUUGAAACACGGACCAAGGAGUCUAACGUCUAUGCGAGUGUUUGGGUGUAAAACCCGUACGCGUAAUGAAAGUGAACGUAGGUUGGGGCCUUCGGGUGCACAAUCGACCGACCUUGAUGUUUUCGGAUAGGUUUGAGUAAGAGCAUAGCUGUUGG
rnacentral:rRNA from 1 species